rnacentral:rRNA from 1 species
UACAGGGGAUGCAAGUGUUAUCCGGAAUUAUUGGGCGUAAAGCGUCUGCAGGUGGACGAAUAAGUCUUUUGUUAAAACUCUAGGCUCAACCUAGAAUCUGCAAAGGAAACUAUUUGUCUUGAGUAUGGUAGAGGUAAAGGGAAUUUCCAGUGGAGCGGUGAAAUGCGUAGAUAUUGGAAAGAACACCAACAGCGAAGGCACUUUACUGGGCCAGUACUGACACUGAGAGACGAAAGCUAGGGGAGCAAACGGG